rnacentral:rRNA from 1 species
GUAGGUGGCAAGCGUUGUCCGGAAUUAUUGGGCGUAAAGCGCGCGCAGGCGGUUCUUUAAGUCUGAUGUGAAAGCCCACGGCUCAACCGUGGAGGGUCAUUGGAAACUGGAGAACUUGAGUACAGAAGAGGAAAGCGGAAUUCCACGUGUAGCGGUGAAAUGCGUAGAGAUAUGGAGGAACACCAGUGGCGAAGGCGGCCUUCUGGUCUGUAACUGACGCUGAGGCGCGAAAGCGUGGGGAGCAAACAGGAUUAGAUACCCUGGUAGUCCACGCCGUAAACGAUGAGUGCUAAGUGUUAGGGGGUUUCCGCCCCCCUUAGUGCUGCAGCCAACGCAUUAAGCACUCCGCCUGGGAGUACGGCCGCAAGGCUG